UACGAAGGGUGCAAGCGUUGUUCGGAAUUACUGGGCGUAAAGGGUUCGUAGGCGGGAAUUUAAGUCAAGUGUGAAAUCCCUGAGCUUAACUCAGGACGUGCAUUUGAAACUAUUUUUCUUGAGUAUUGGAGAGGGUCGUGGAAUUGCUGGUGUAGGAGUGAAAUCCGUAGAGAUCAGCAGGAACACCUGAGGCGAAAGCGGCGACCUGGUCAUAUACUGACGCUGAGGAACGAAAGCGCGGGGAGCAAACAGG
rnacentral:misc_RNA from 1 species